rnacentral:rRNA from 1 species
AGAGUUUGAUCAUGGCUCAGGAUGAACGCUAGCUACAGGCUUAACACAUGCAAGUCGAGGGGAAACGAUAUUGGAAGCUUGCUUCCGAUAGGCGUCGACCGGCGCACGGGUGAGUAACGCGUAUCCAACCUGCCCAUCACUUGGGGAUAACCUUGCGAAAGUAAGACUAAUACCCAAUGACGUCUCUAGAAGACAUCUGAAGGAGAUUAAAGAUUUAUCGGUGAUGGAUGGGGAUGCGUCUGAUUAGCUUGUUGGCGGGGUAACGGCCCACCAAGGCAACGAUCAGUAGGGGUUCUGAGAGGAAGGUCCCCCACAUUGGAACUGAGACACGGUCCAAACUCCUACGGGAGGCAGCAGUGAGGAAUAUUGGUCAAUGGGCGAGAGCCUGAACCAGCCAAGUAGCGUGCAGGAAGACGGCCCUAUGGGUUGUAAACUGCUUUUAUAAGGGAAUAAAGUUAGUCUCGUGAGACUUUUUGCAUGUACCUUAUGAAUAAGGACCGGCUAAUUCCGUGCCAGCAGCCGCGGUAAUACGGAAGGUCCGGGCGUUAUCCGGAUUUAUUGGGUUUAAAGGGAGCGUAGGCCGGAGAUUAAGCGUGUUGUGAAAUGUAGACGCUCAACGUCUGCACCGCAGCGCGAACUGGUUUCCUUGAGUACGCACAAAGUGGGCGGAAUUCGUGGUGUAGCGGUGAAAUGCUUAGAUAUCACGAAGAACUCCGAUUGCGAAGGCAGCUCACUGGAGCGCAACUGACGCUGAAGCUCGAAAGUGCGGGUAUCGAACAGGAUUAGAUACCCUGGUAGUCCGCACGGUAAACGAUGGAUGCCCGCUGUUGGUCUGAACAGGUCAGCGGCCAAGCGAAAGCAUUAAGCAUCCCACCUGGGGAGUACGCCGGCAACGGUGAAACUCAAAGGAAUUGACGGGGACCCGCACAAGCGGUGGAGCAUGUGGUUUAAUUCGAAGCAACGCGAAGAACCUUACCAAGUCUUGACAUCCCGGUGACAGAACAUGUAAUGUGUUUUCCCUUCGGGGCACCGGAGACAGGUGGUGCAUGGUUGUCGUCAGCUCGUGUCGUGAGAUGUUGGGUUAAGUCCCGCAACGAGCGCAACCCUUAUCCCCAGUAGCCAGCAUUUCGGAUGGGCACUCUGUGGAGACUGCCAGGGACAACCUGGAGGAAGGUGGGGAUGACGUCAAAUCAUCAUGCCCCUUAUGACUUGGGCUACACACGUGCUACAAUGGCGUAAACAAAGGGAAGCGAGACCGCGAGGUGGAGCAAAUCCCAAAAAUAACGUCCCAGUUCGGAUUGUAGUCUGCAACUCGACUACAUGAAGCUGGAAUCGCUAGUAAUCGCAGAUCAGAAUGCUGCGGUGAAUACGUUCCCGGGUCUUGUACACACCGCCCGUCACACCAUGGGAGUCGGAAAUGCCCGAAGCCGGUGGCCUAACCGCAAGGAAGGAGCCGUCGAAGGCAGGUCUGAUAACUGGGGUGAAGUCGUAACAAGGUA